CUUCCUAGGAGAAUUUCUUUCUUAGCUCUCCCCUCAUGAUAGACACAGGGCCAAUGGCAGGCCCAGCUUCCCCCGGCAGGAGCCACUCCUGUCUCCCACGUUCCCCACACAGAGCUGUGGUGACUCAACCCACGUGUCAGGAACAGGACCGAACAAGCGUAUGUAUAAACGCAGACCAGGAUCAUCACUUUAUUGGUAAUGUUGAGUCAUAAGGCAGUUACAAAAGGACCCCCAUGGUGACCAAACAAUGUUGGACUAUGGCUUAGCUUCUGUAAUAGGAUGACCGACUCUCCCGUCACAAAGAGCUGAGAAAGGAAAGAGAAAACCACAGUGAUGACAAAGUACGACAAAUGGCUGUGCUGUGAAGUACCAGAAAGCCCCAAUUUUUGGUGUAUGUCGCCCACUUUUCCUCCACCAGAGACUAAGAUGUCAUCCCAUAGCUAAGAGAACUUAGAGGGAGAAACAGGGCCGCACGUCAUCCUCCACUUCAGGUGAAUUUGUCACUGCAAGUGGUGCAGGGAUGUUACAACCAAGCCGCGGACAACUCAUGAGUAGGGCCGAGAUUCCUGGUACUGUGGAGAGGCGCAGAGCAUAUGAACACCUCAAACAGAUGAUUGUCACAGGGUGGGAAAUCCUUCCAUGAAAC
rnacentral:lncRNA from 1 species